UGGGGAAUCUUGGACAAUGGGCGCAAGCCUGGUCCAGCCAUGCCGCGUGAAGGAUGAAGUAUUUCGGUAUGUAAACUUCGAAAGAAUAGGAAGAAUAAAUGACGGUACUAUUUAUAAGGUCCGGCUAACUACGUGCCAGCAGCCGCGGUAAUACGUAGGGACCAAGCGUUGUUCGGAUUUACUGGGCGUAAAGGGCGCGUAGGCGGCAAUUCAAGUCAUCUGUGAAAUCUCCGGGCUUAACUCGGAACGGUCAGAUGAUACUGCUUUGCUAGAGUGCAGAAGGGGCAAUCGGAAUUCUUGGUGUAGCGGUGAAAUGCGUAGAUAUCAAGAGGAACACCUGAGGUGAAGACGGGUUGCUGGGCUGACACUGACGCUGAGGCGCGAAAGCCAGGGGAGCAAACGGGAUUAGAUACCCAAGUAGUCCCUGAGCGGGCUGGCAAGGCGCAU
rnacentral:rRNA from 1 species